GACAAAAUGAGUUGCUGUCAUCCUCUCAUGACCCUUGCAAAUCUAGCAAACGGAAAGAAAUUCAGUUUCAUUUGGUCCUGGUAAUGUUUUUUUAUUUCUUUUGGUUAGAAAAGCAAUUUGACACCAUAAAAAGACCUACUGUAGAAACAUCACAUCAACUCAUAAAUUUAGGAAGAAGAGCAUUGACCACUUGUCUUUGGGAGAAAAAAAAAGGGGGGGGGAUAUUUACAUAGUUUUCUUGAAGCAAACACUGAUUUUAAUAUUUUCAUUGACAUACAUUUAUAAUGAUUUAGAAUUCUUUUGAAACUAAAAGAUUGAUGUGUUUGCCUUCUUAAUUUUAAUAGAAAAACUUUUUUCUUUCUCUCAAGAAAUCUAUAAUAAUCAUGAUAAAAUAUAUAUUCGAUUACAAAGCCUUCCGUUAUCAGGUCUGUUCGCCCUGAGUUUGUUUUCCAAAUUUUCAAUAAGAGUCCAUUGACUCAGUUUUUUUCUCCUAAUUCAAAAUUAAUGGUUGCUUCAAAUCCUUGUUUUUAAAUAUAACCCAUUGAAAUAGAAAACAUUUGGUAGAUAGAUAUAGAAAGAUGUGGUAUGAGUGCCUAUUCAUCCAAAUAACAAUUUAUAAACUUAAAGUAAACCAUUAUAGAUCAAUGUACGGCCUUCAACACAGAGCCUUGGCUCACACGGAACAACAAGCUAUAAACAAGAUAAAGGACCCCUAAAUUACUAGUGUUAAACCCUUUGAACAGGAAAACCAAUGGUCUAAAAAGGAAUAACAAGAAACACGUACAAAUUAAUGUACAUAAACAUAACGAAAACUACUGUACAUUUAGGCCAACUAAAAAGUAUGUGUGUUAUUUGCAUUACCCUUUUGUGAGGUUUUGAUUAAGCACUGUUAAAGUCACAAUAUAGCUCCCAAAGAGUUGUAAAUUUCCUGUCUUUAUUCAUUCCUUUACCGAUACUACAUGUACAUUGUACAAUGCAACUAGAUUGAUACAAUAUACAUGAUGUAUGAUUCUCAAAAUUAAAAACACAUUUUACAGACUAUGAGCUUGGUAUUUUUCUCUCUAAAUAUUUGUUACUGUGAGACUUUUUCUUAAAAUUUCCUAAGUGAAGGUCAUGUAUCACAGUUAAAAACAUGGAAAGAGAACUUGUACAUGUAAUUACUUCUAUCAGUUAAUAAAAUAGAAUCAGAAUAGAAUAUGCUUACAAAUGUAUUCCAAACUGAAGGGCACAGAAGGGCAACAUAAGAUUAUAACAUUACAGAUUACUCAGAUAAAACAAAUUCAAAAUAACAAUAUUGAAUAAAUGUACUUGAUGAUGUGAUUGAUAUCGUAGCAUUUAUGACAUUUACACAGAUUAAUUAUCAAAUCUACAAAACUUUUUUUUUUCAAUGAUCCAAUGCAUUAUUUUAUAAAGCCAACUCAAUGUACAAUGUACAUGUAGAUGUAACUCACUGUACUGAUCAUGCAAAUGCACAAAUAUACAAUAUUUUAUUUCUUAUCAACAGGUUAAUGUUGAAGAUGGAAAAGCACAAAAAUAAUGAGAAAAUGAAAGCAGAUAUGAUAGGAGAUCAUAUAGGUAAAUAUAUGAUAUAAUUGAUAAAAAAAAAUGAAUCGAACAAGUCAUAAGAAGAGACUGCUAAAUAGACAGCAAAUAAGACCUGUGUUGUGACAUUAUUUGUGAAAUAUAAUCAUAUAUAGAAAUUGGAAAUUGACCAGUUACAUUUGUUAUUGUAAAAACAUGAUAAAUAAUCAAUAAACUAGAUUAACCCUUCAAUUUUAAAAGUUGAAUCUGGGAAACAAAAAGUAAAAAUAACACACAACACUCAAAUUCUUAUUUUAUGAUCAAUUAAGGGCCAUAUCAGUACAAUUUACACAAAAAAAAAUUCAUUGCUCAUCAUAUUAAAAUUGUUUUCUUUGUAAGAAUUAAACCUAGAAAAAAAUAUAUGUAUUCUUGUCAGCUUGACAGAUCCUCAUUUAUAGUAUACAUGCAUAUAUUGUAAACCUGGAGACUACAUUUGUAUUUUUCAUUUUUGAAAAAGCACUUUAAGCAUUAUUACAGCUAUUUUCCUACUGCAUGUAGAGUAAAACUUUGGAAGGUUUGCUUGCUCCGUUGUAUAAAUAUUAAUUCAAGCUUUUUAAUUAAUGUUGAUAUCUUCUUGUACUUUUAAAUUUGAUUAGACUUUAUGCCAAUUGCAAUUGUACAAUAUACAAACAAACCAUGCAAGCUAACCGAAGUCUUAGAUUUACAUGCCUUAGGAAUUUAGCUGUAAAAUUAAUUAUAUAUUUGUUUUCAAUGCUUAUUGUUGUACAAAUUUCAAAUGUUUUGGCUUGUUUUUGAAAUGAUCCAUAUCAGCUAUAGGGUCAAAAGCGUCCAAAGUUAAACUUUAAGUAUGUUUUUACUAGUGUCUGAUGCUUUUUUGCUUUGAGCAAAUAAAAUAUGUUUAAAUCUAAAUAAAGUUAAACUUGAUUUGAUAAAACAAUGGUCAAUGGAAUAAUUGGUGUUCUUUGAUAUUAUGCAAAAUUAAACAUUGCAUUGUAGUCAUAUUUUUCUAAUUUCGGGCAUGUCUUAAAAGCUUUAAAUUGUCUAAAUUCAUUAAAAAUGGAAUAUAUUGGGUUCUUUGAUAUGACAAAUCUAAUCAUGUCUUUUAGACUUUAGAAUUUGGAUAUUGGCACAAGUCCAAUCUCAAAAUCAUAAGUUCUUUUACCACAAUCAAAUUUUGAACUGUAUCAUGUGGAUCAAGUUUGAAUGAAGUGUCUAUACUAGCCCCCCCCCUCCCCCCAAACACCACCGACCUCAUUAAUGUGCAAUCUCUGCGUUGUAAUAGAAUGUACUUGAGCUGUUUAAAUCUCAUUGUUGAAGGUUGUACAGGGGACUUACAUUCAUUUCAUUUGAUCUUUUGUGGAUAUUUGUCUCAUUUGUAUUCAAUACUCAUCUCCCUAUUUUUGUGUUGUCAUAAUGUCAUUAAUUAAAUACAAGAUGAAAUCUGCAAAUUUAACUUCAUUGAAAUUAAGUUUGCUGCAGCUUGGAAUAAGAAAAAAAUCAAAUUUAGGUCCAUUUUUAGCUAGUUUACUUUAUUUCUUAUUCUAUGUACUGGAAUGUCAGAGUUGUGAUAAUCGAAACACAUUUACACUAAGACCAAGUUAAUAAUUAAUUUCUUUUUUUAGGAAAUUUCAAUCAUUUAAUGGAUAACAAUUGUUUUCUUAUUCAUUUUUUACAGAUAUUUGGUGAUCCAAAAAGAACUGGAGUUCAUGAAACAAGACUGAUUGCUGGGACACAUUUUUGUUGAUAAACAUGUUUAUGAUGAAGAAAAACUUAGAUAAUAUUACGGAUACUUGAAUAAGGCUCUGAUCUGUCUUUGAUUUUUCCUGUUGGUGUUUAAAAAUUGCAAGCUCAAAAAAAAAAAUGGAAAUGGAACUCAUGGAUAUGCUUUGAAAAAAAGAAAUAAACAGCAAUCUGAAUCUCGCCGAAGUCUUACCAACAACCAAGUCAACACACAGUUGCAACACAAAUGAGAAGAGAGAGA
rnacentral:lncRNA from 1 species